GCUUAAUCUUGGAGCUGACUCUUCAACUGGAAAGUCAACUGAGGACUUUAACUCCAUUCAUGAGUUUUAAGAAGUUCACGCACUGCACUAUGCAUUGAUUUGGAGGUAGCGCCCAGGUACAUAUUUAUGAAUACGUGCAAAGUAUAGAAGAUAGAAAACUAGCUAUUAUUUAAAGUGGUUCUGUCACCAAACUGUACAUUUUGAGUAUUUUAGACAAAGCGGGGACUUUUUUGUCUCCUAGUAAAGCCUUUGAUUGAUAAGACAACAAAAUGCAGAGCUUCCACAAUAAAGCAUUAUCAAAUUCCACAGCUGUCAUUCGAUUCAGCCAUGUUCGCAGAUUGAGAGACUUGGUCUAGGGAAGAUCUCGGGAACUUGCAGGAAUCCCCGUAGACAUCAGUGCUGUAUAGCACUGACACUGCUCCUGACAGAUUGGAUACCAGGACCUGAAGGACAGAGAGGUCUGUGCCUACGGGGCAAAAUAUUUAGGCAUGUAUAUCUAGGUUCUACUAAGCAGGGAUGUCUCCUCCAGGACAAAAUAUGUAAAGACCCCCAAAGAUGACAGGCACUUUUCGCCUUCCGUAGGCAAUAUGUGUAAAUAUUGCUUAAAGGACCACUAUAGUCACCCAGACCACUUCACUUCAGCUCAAUGAAGUGGUCUGGGUGUCAGGUCCCUCAGGUUUUAACCCUUCAGAUGUAAACAUAGCAGUUUCAGAGAAACUGCUAUGUUUACAUUAGGGGUUAAUCCAACCUCUAGUGGCCGUCUUCCUGACAGCCGCUAGGGGCGCAUCUGCUACACUGGAUGCGAAAUUCACAUCCAGCAUGCAGAACGUCGAUAGGAAAGCAUUGAGAAAGUACGUUUACGUAAACUAUAACCAAUUCCAAGUGUAAAAGACUUAAAAGUAGGUUUUUAGUCAAUUUGGCAACUUUAUGAAUUCAAAAUAAACAGGAGUACUUAUAGGACCACCCCAGGCCGUUAUGGAGCCUUGAAGGUUUUUGUACAGUCUUGUCUUAUGAGGUUCAACUAUUUUUGAACAGUAUAACCUCAAAGCUCCCAACCUAUCACCAGCACCCAAGGAAAAUGUUUCCGCAUUAGGACCUGAGUCAGAGGAGGAGGUAGAUAGGUCGAUCAGAAAGACACUGUGGAGAAUUUGGGGAGUUAAACCGUUCAAAAAUCGUUUAACCAGACAAAGUAAUACACUUCCAGACUCCACAAUGACUUUAUUGAGCUUAAGUCGUUAUGGGUCUUGGAGUGGCCCUUUAAACAGUUUUUUUUUUUUUUUUUUAUGUCUGCAUAAUAUAAGAACUUGCAUGUUUGUAUUUGUGUUCCUUUAAUAACAUGAACAUUGUCAUCUGUCACGAUAACUUCUAAAUCUGUCCGGUGUGUGAAAUUAAACUCCGUUUAUGAAAAUAACAGUUUUUCGUCUGCAGAGUUCCUAUAGAAUCCAUACUUAUACCUUUUUUUUUUUUUUUUUUUUUUUUUUUUUUUUUUUAAGCGUGAUUUUAUGUACUGAUGCACAGCCCCUGGUAAUUACAAGGCAUUGACAAGGUUAUGAAUUGAGUGUCGUGUGAUUUUAAUUUUUACUUCUUCCAGGUAUACAGAUGUUAUCUAACAUAUUCGUAAUGUGUUCUGUUUAAUAUUGUAUCUAUUUUAAUGUUCUUGCUGAACUCUUUUAUAUAUUUCAUGAUUCAGUAAUUUGCAUUAAAAGAAAACUUG